GUUCACUCUCACCGUUAUAGGCUCGCCUGUCCUGAUCCGCUGCGCCGGACCGAGGAGCCGCCGUCAGCGCGAGGCCGCCUGGCCCUUCCCGGGAGGUUUCGACUGGCAAGAGACUGGGCAACCGUGUCUGCCGACCGCUUCCUGGGACCGGACUGGGUGGGCCUGGCUGGCACAGGGUCAGUGGCACAUCGGUCGGCCCUCCACCCGACCCGUCUUGAA
rnacentral:rRNA from 1 species